UACGUAGGGUCCGAGCGUUGUCCGGAAUUACUGGGCGUAAGGAGCUCGUAGGUGGUUUGUCGCGUUGUUCGUGAAAACUCACAGCUCAACUGUGGGCGUGCGGGCGAUACGGGCAGACUUGAGUACUGCAGGGGAGACUGGAAUUCCUGGUGUAGCGGUGGAAUGCGCAGAUAUCAGGAGGAACACCGGUGGCGAAGGCGGGUCUCUGGGCCGAAACUGACGCUGAGGAGCGAAAGCGUGGGGAGCAAACAGG
rnacentral:rRNA from 1 species